AUUGAACGCUGGCGGCAGGCCUAACACAUGCAAGUCGAGCGAGCGGCGGACGGGUGAGUAAUGUAUGGGGACUGCCCGAUAGAGGGGGAUAACUACUGGAAACGGUGGCUAAUACCGCAUACUAUCGGAUAACCCAUAUGGGAUUAGCUAGUAGGUGGGGUAAAGGCUCACCUAGGCGACGAUCGCUAGCUGGUCUGAGAGGAUGAUCAGCCGCACUGGGACUGAGACACGGCCCAGACUCCUACGGAGGAGGGAGUGGGGAAUGUUGCACAAUGGGAGCGAGGCAGAGGCAGCCAUGCCGCGGGUAUGAAGAAGGCCUUGGGGUUGUAAAGUACUUUCAGCGGGGAGGCGUUACCCGCAGAAGAAGCACCGGCUAACUCCGUGCCAGCCGCCGCGGUAAUAC
rnacentral:rRNA from 1 species